rnacentral:rRNA from 1 species
GCCACCGUAAGGUGAGGAGGAAGGUGGGGGAUGACGUCAAGUCCUCAUGGCCCUUAUGACCAGGGCUACACACGUGCUACAAUGGCCGGUACAAAGAGUUGCGAUACCGCGAGGUGGAGCUAAUCUCAUAAAGCCGGUCUCAGUUCGGAUUGGAGUCUGCAACUCGACUCCAUGAAGUUGGAAUCGCUAGUAAUCGCGGAUCAGCAUGCCGCGGUGAAUACGUUCCCGGGCCUU